rnacentral:rRNA from 1 species
AGUGUAGGCGGAAAGGUAAGUUAGGAGUUAAAUACACGGGCUCAACCCGUGGCCUGCUCUUAAUACUGUCUUUCUUGAGUAUGGGAGAGGGUAAUGGAAUUCCAGGUGUAGCGGUGGAAUGCGUAGAUAUCUGGAAGAACACCAGUUGCGAAGGCGGUUACCUGGCCCAAUACUGACGCUGAGGCUCGAAAGCGUGGGGAGCAAACAGGAUUAGAUACCCUGGUAGUCC